CCGCGAGCCGUUCGCGGCCGCUUAGCUCGUUUCUUCCUCUCCCCUCGCGACCACAUCUGGUUCGUGUUGUCGAACAGCACCAGAGAUACGCGCCUGAAGGCUCGCUGGUCUGCGCAUACAGCACGCGCCUCACGCUGCUUCGGUGGUCUUAAGUUCGGCUGUAGGGAAUCUCAGAGCCAAAGGAGGAGCUGCUGUCUGUGACUUUGUCUCUUGUACCCGUCCUCAGAGUUUGAAGCUGAAGAAGAGUCCCUCCUACAGUCAGGACACAUAGUAACACUUUCAGAUGCGAGAGGAAGAAGAAGGACGAG
ensembl:lncRNA